CCUACGGGAGGCAGCAGUGAGGAAUAUUGGUCAAUGGACGAGAGUCUGAACCAGCCAAGUAGCGUGAAGGAUGACUGUCCUAUGGGUUGUAAACUUCUUUUAUAUGGGAAUAAAAUGUUCCACGUGUGGGAUUUUGUAUGUACCAUAUGAAUAAGGAUCGACUAACUCCGUGCCAGCAGCCGCGGUAAUACGGAGGAUCCGAGCGUUAUCCGGAUUUAUUGGGUUUAAAGGGAGCGUAGGUGGAUUGUUAAGUCAGUUGUGAAAGUUUGCGGCUCAACCGUAAAAUUGCAGUUGAAACUGGCAGUCUUGAGUACAGUAGAGGUAGGCGGAAUUCGUGGUGUAGCGGUGAAAUGCUUAGAUAUCACGAAGAACUCCGAUUGCGAAGGCAGUUCACUGGACUGCAACUGACACUGAGGCUCGAAAGUGUGGGUAUCAAACAGGAUUAGAUACCCCUGUAGUC
rnacentral:rRNA from 1 species